UACGUAGGUGGCAAGCGUUGUCCGGAUUUACUGGGCGUAAAGGGCGUGCAGGCGGUUUGUUUAGUCUAGGGUGAAAGCUCCCGGCUUAACUGGGAGAGGUCCUUGGAUACUGGCAAACUUGAGGGAGGCAGAGGAAAGUGGAAUUCCCGGUGUAGUGGUGAUAUGCGUAGAUAUUCGGAGGAACACCAGUGGCGAAGGCGGCUCACUGGCUCGAUACUGACGCUGAGGUGCGAAAGCGUGGGGAGCAAACAGG
rnacentral:rRNA from 1 species